rnacentral:tRNA from 1 species
GAGGGCACAGCUCAGUGGUAGAGCGCAUGCUUGGCAUACAGGAGGUUCUGGGUUCAAUCCCCAGUGCUUCCC